rnacentral:rRNA from 1 species
AACGAACGCUGGCGGCACGCCUAACACAUGCAAGUCGAACGAAGCAUAAGAGCUUGCUCUUAUGACUGAGUGGCGCUCGGGUGAGUAACACGUGGGAAUCUGCCUAUUGGUGGGGAAUAACUUUUGGAAACGAAAGCUAAUACCGCAUAAGCCCUAAGGGGGAAAGAUUUAUCGCCAAUAGAUGAGCCCGCGCUAGAUUAGCUAGUUGGUGAGGUAAGAGCUCACCAAGGCUACGAUCUAUAGCUGGUCUGAGAGGAUGGUCAGCCACACUGGGACUGAGACACGGCCCAGACUCCUACGGGAGGCAGCAGUGGGGAAUAUUGGACAAUGGGGGAAACCCUGAUCCAGCGAUGCCGCGUGAGUGAAGAAGGCCUUCGGGUUGUAAAGCUCUUUCAGAGGGGAUGAUAAUGACGGUACCCUCAGAAGAAGCACCGGCUAACUUCGUGCCAGCCGCCGCAGUAA